CGUCUAAAAAAUGGCUUACAAGGAUCUUCAAUGAUGAUUUCCUAAAUCACACCUUUUGUCUUCAGCCCAAUAAUGAGAAACUAAAUUUAAAAGAGCAGCCUGUCAUUCAGUGGUGUCUGGGAAAACGAGACUUCUUGCUCCUCUAAGUAAAAAUAUGAUUAAAAAGGUUCUAUCGGCGAUCAAGGGGCAUCAUCAUUGUCCCAUCAAUUCAAAUGUGUAAAAGACAACAAACGAAAGGAAAGGAAGAGACUAGAGAAGCUAAUCCAGCAACCCAUGUCGUAAUAGGUGGUUUGAUACUUCAUUGUGGAAACGGGAUCCAGAAGAACCGUUAAUACCUCUUGGGAAUUGAAUACAUAGAAGAGAGUCCCUUCAAAGGUUAACUUCAGUUGCAUAAAAAAAAAUAGAUACGAAUGUAUUCUUUUCUUCAAUGAAUUGACUUUUUUUGCAUUUUCAUUCAUUCAUUUUCAAUUGCUUAUCCCUAUUGGGGUCGCGGGACUAUAUGAGAAUUU